rnacentral:rRNA from 1 species
CAGCCGCCGCGGUAAUACGUAGGUGGCAAGCGUUGCCCGGAAUUAUUGGGCGUAAAGGGCUCGCAGGCGGUUUCUUAAGUCUGAUGUGAAAGCCCCCGGCUCAACCGGGGAGGGUCAUCGGAAACUGGGAAACUUGAGUGCAGAAGAGGAGAGUGGAAUUCCACGUGUAGCGGUGAAAUGCGUAGAGAUGUGGAGGAACACCAGUGGCGAAGGCGACUCUCUGGUCUGUAACUGACGCUGAGGAGCGAAAGCGUGGGGAGCGAACAGGAUUAGAUACCCCAGUAGUCCCUGUCUCUUAUAC